rnacentral:rRNA from 1 species
GAUGAACGCUGGCGGCGUGCCUAAUACAUGCAAGUCGAGCGAACGGACGAGAAGCUUGCUUCUCUGAUGUUAGCGGCGGACGGGUGAGUAACACGUGGAUAACCUACCUAUAAGACCGGGAUAACUUCGGGAAACCGGAGCUAAUACCGGAUAAUAUUUUGAACCGCAUGGUUCAAAAGUGAAAGACGGUCUUGCUGUCACUUAUAGAUGGAUCCGCGCUGCAUUAGCUAGUUGGUAAGGUAACGGCUUACCAAGGCAACGAUGCAUAGCCGACCUGAGAGGGUGAUCAGCCACACUGGAACUGAGACACGGUCCAGACUCCUACGGGAGGCAGCAGUAGGGAAUCUUCCGCAAUGGGCGAAAGCCUGACGGAGCAACGCCGCGUGAGUGAUGAAGGUCUUCGGAUCGUAAAACUCUGUUAUUAGGGAAGAACAUAUGUGUAAGUAACUGUGCACAUCUUGACGGUACCUAAUCAGAAAGCCACGGCUAACUACGUG